rnacentral:lncRNA from 1 species
CUCGUCGUUUUCUCUUUUCAUCUCCCUUUUUCUUCUGUAUUCGAGUGAGGGUCUUCCCUCUGCUCUUGACGAGGUCGUGAGAGUGUAGAGGGGUCGUUGAGGAGGCUUUCCUCCUUGUCCGGUCUCGAUCGACCGAGCCUUUGUUUGUGUCAGGACGAGGUUCUCCUCUUGUUCUCGAUGGUCAGUUUCAGCUCAUGUUAGGAUGAGGUUCUCCUUCUGUUCCUAACAGGAUUGUGGGGG